rnacentral:rRNA from 1 species
UACGAAGGGGGCUAGCGUUGUUCGGAAUUACUGGGCGUAAAGCGCACGUAGGCGGAUAUUUAAGUCAGGGGUGAAAUCCCGGGGCUCAACCCCGGAACUGCCUUUGAUACUGGGUAUCUCGAGUCCGAGAGAGGUGAGUGGAAUUCCGAGUGUAGAGGUGAAAUUCGUAGAUAUCAGGAGGAACACCAAUAGCGAAGGCAGCUCGCUGGGACGUUACUGACACUGAGGCGCGAAAGCGUGGGGAGCGAACAGG